AAAACCUUUUCUUGAGAAUUUUGCAGAUGAAGAGGACUCCUUUUUCUUGGGGGAGCCUUCUUAUGACUGAGCAUGAAGGCAAAGGUACGUGUAUAUUAGUUAGGAUUAUUUUUCUAGUUUUGUAGGUUUUAUUUUUUGGAUAUCAACAGCUCAAGGUAUUCCUCUUCUCUUCAAUAUUAUUUUCUCUACUGUCUUUCAUUAUAGCUUUCUUGUAUCUAUUACAUUGAGGACAAUGCAAUGUUUAAGUUGGGGGGAGGGAAGUAUUUUGAUUUAAAAAAAAAUUGCAUUCUUUUCUAAGCAAAUGCACAUGUAUUUUCAUAUUGAGUUUGUGCAACUAUU
rnacentral:lncRNA from 1 species